rnacentral:rRNA from 1 species
GAUGACCGCUGGCGGCGUGCUUAACACAUGCAAGUCGAACGGUGAGCCGCUUUCCUUUUUGUUGGGGUGGUAGGGGGGGCCAAGGGGGGAGUAACUGGUGAGAACCCUCCCCCUUCUUGUUGAAUACCGGCAGAAAGUUGUGACUAAUAGGGAAUAUUUUGGGCCGGUUGCUUCAUGGGUUUGGGAAGGUUUUGGUUUCGGUGGGGGAUGGGUCCGCGCCCUAUCAGGUUGUUGGUGGGGUAAUGGCCUACCAAGGCGGUGACGGGUAGCCGGCCUGGGAGGGUGGACGGUCACAGUAGGAAGGAGAGACGGCCCAGACUCCUACGGGAGGCAGCAGUGGGGAAUAUUGCACAAGGGGAGGAAGGCUGAUGCAGCGACGCCGCGUGGGGGAUGGUGGCCGUCGGGUUGUGAACCUCUUUCGCCAGAGAAGCAGGCCUGCCUCGUUUGUGGGUGGGUUGACGGUAGCUAGAUAAGAAGCGCCGGCUAACUACGUG